rnacentral:rRNA from 1 species
UACGUAGGGUGCGAGCGUUGUCCGGAAUUAUUGGGCGUAAAGAGCUCGUAGGUGGCUUGUCACGUCGGGUGUGAAAUCCCAGGGCUUAACUCUGGGUCUGCAUUCGAUACGGGCUGGCUAGGGUCCUUCAGGGGAGACUGGAAUUCCCGGUGUAGCGGUGAAAUGCGCAGAUAUCGGGAGGAACACCAGAGGCGAAGGCGGUUUCCUGGACAGUUACUGACGCUCAGGCACGAAAGCAUGGGGAGCAAAAGGG